GACGAACGCUGGCGGCGUGCCUAAUACAUGCAAGUCGAACGCAGUGGGGACGGGUGAGUAACACGUGGGUAACCUCCCAUCAGAGGGGAUAACACUUGGAAACAGGUGCUAAACCGAUACUGAUGGAUGGACCCGCGGUGCAUUAGCUAGUUGGUGAGGUAACGGCUCACCAAGGCCACGAUGCAUAGCCGACCUGAGAGGGUGGGCGGCAACAUUGGGACGGGAACACGGCCAGGACUCAUACGGGAGGCAGCAGUAGGGAAUCUUCGGCAAUGGGCGAAAGGCUGACCAAGCAACGCCGCGUGAGUGAAGAAGGUUUUCGGAUCGUAGAACUCUGUUGUUAGAGAAGCGGUGUCUAACCAGAAAGCCACGGCUAACUACGUGCGAGCCGCCGCGGUAAUUC
rnacentral:rRNA from 1 species